rnacentral:rRNA from 1 species
GACGAACGCUGGCGGCGUGCUUAACACAUGCAAGUCGAACGGUGACCUCGAGAGCUUGCUCUCGGGCGAUCAGUGGCGAACGGGUGAAUAACACGUGAGUAACCUGCCCCAGACUCUGAAAUAACCCCGGGAAACCGGAGCUAAUACCGGAUACGAGACGGAGUCGCAUGGCUACCGUCUGGAAAGUUUUUCGGUCUGGGAUGGACUCGCGGCCUAUCAGCUAGUUGGUGAGGUAACGGCUCACCAAGGCGACGACGGGUAGCCGGCCUGAGAGGGCGACCGGCCACACUGGGACUGAGACACGGCCCAGACUCCUACGGGAGGCAGCAGUGGGGAAUAUUGCACAAUGGGCGAAAGCCUGAUGCAGCGACGCCGCGUGAGGGAUGACGGCCUUCGGGUUGUAAACCUCUUUCAGCAGGGAAGAAGCGAAAGUGACGGUACCUGCAGAAGAAGCACCGGCUAACUACGUGCCAGCCGCCGCGGUAAUAC